rnacentral:sRNA from 1 species
GGAACCGUUGAUUCGCACA